rnacentral:rRNA from 1 species
GACGAACGCUUGCGGCGUGCCUAAGAAAUGCAAGUCGAACGGAAGUAGCAAUACUUUAGUGGCGAACGGUCGCGUAACACGUAAGAAACCUGCCUCAAAGUGGGGGACAGCGAUCCGAAAGGGUCGCUAAUACCGCAUGUGAACAAGUGAUGGCAUCAUUAUUUGUUUAAAGCUUUAUGCGCUUUGAGAUGGUCUUGCGG